rnacentral:rRNA from 1 species
AAUAGCGUAUAUUAAAGUUGUUGCAGUUAAAAAGCUCGUAGUUGGAUUUGUGGCUUACGGCGGGUUCCGGGCACUUGUGUCUGAGUGACUUGCCGUUGCCAUCCUUGGGUGGAACCUGUGUGGCAUUAGGUUGUCGUGCAGGGGAUGCCCAUCGUUUACUGUGAAAAAAUUAGAGUGUUCAAAGCAGGCUUAUGCCGUUGAAUAUAUUAGCAUGGAAUAAUGAGAUAGGACUUUUUCGCUAUUUUGUUGGUUUGCGCGAGAAGGUAAUGAUUAAUAGGGACAGUUGGGGGUAUUCGUAUUCCAUUGUCAGAGGUGAAAUUCUUGGAUUUCUGGAAGACGAACUACUGCGAAAGCAUUUACCAAGGAUGUUUUCAUUAAUCAAGAACGAAAGUUAGGGGAUCGAAGAUGAUUAGA